rnacentral:misc_RNA from 1 species
GAUGAAGAACGUAGCGAAAUGCGAUACGUAAUGUGAAUUGCAGAAUUCAGUGAAUCAUCGAAUCUUUGAACGCAUAUUGCGCUCUCUGUAUUCCGGAGAGCAUGCUUGUUUGAGUAUCAGUAAACACCUCAACUUCCAUAUCUUUUUUUGAAAUGGGAGUUGGACUUGAGUGAUCCCAACGCUUUUCCUCACCGAAAAGUGGCGGGUUACUUGAAAUGCAGGUGCAGCUGGACUUUUCUCUGAGCUAUAAGCAUAUCUAUUUAGUCUGCCUAAAAAACAGAUUAUUACCUUUGCUGCAGCUAACAUAAAGGAGAUUAGUUCUUGUGCUGACUGAUGCAGGAUUCACAAAGACAGCUUCGGCCGACUUUGUAAACUCGAUCUCAAAUCAAGUAAGACUACCCGCUGAACUUAAGCAUAUCAAUAAGCGGAGGA